CUUCCCAUCUAUUUGCUGCUGUAGUCUCUCCAUGCUAUGAGCAGUUAUACGCGUGGGAUAAAAUAACACUGGGCCAUUGUAACUAAAUGGAGGUGACGUAACUGAGUCAUCUCUGCUCCGUGGUCUAGACAUGG
ensembl:snoRNA SNORA20 small nucleolar RNA, H/ACA box 20